GUCUUAUUGAAAAUAAUUUUAAGUCAAUCUGCCCAAUGAAUAAUUAAAUGGCUGCAGUAUAUCUGACUGUACAAAGGUAGCAUAAUCAAUUGAUUUUUAAAUGAAAUCUGGAAUGAAAGGAUUAAUGAAAUAUAUACUGUCUCAUAUUUAUUAUAUGAAUUUAAAAUUUUAAUAAAAAUGUUAAAAUUUAUUUAUGGGACGAUAAGACCCUAUAGAAUUUUAUAUUGAUUUAUUUUUAUAUUUAAUAUAAAAUUUAAAUUAAUAUUUAAUUGGGAGAAUUAUUAAAUUUAAUAAAUUUUAAUUUUUAAAAACUUAGAUUUAAGAAAUAAUUUUGAUUUAUAUUUUAUAAUUAUUAGAUUAAAUUACCUUAGGGAUAACAGCGUUAUAUUUUUUUAUAGAUCGUAUAGAAAAAAAUGAUUGCGACCUCGAUGUUGAAUUAAGAUAAAUUUUAAAUGUAGAAGUUUAAUAAUUAAGUCUGUUCGACUUUUAAAAUCUUACAUGAUUUGAGUUCAAAUCGACGUAAGU
rnacentral:rRNA from 1 species